rnacentral:rRNA from 1 species
UUGGAUUGAGACAACGUACAAACCUUAUCGAUAAACAAUUGGAGGGCAAGUCUGGUGCCAGCAGCCGCGGUAAUUCCAGCUCCAAUAGCGUAUAUUAACGUUGUUGCAGUUAAAAAGCUCGUAGUUGAAAUGAAGGGUAGUUGUGUAAUGAAUACAUUCGUGUAUUUUGUUAUUCAACUACCCUCCUUCUAAAUUCGAUAUAUGAGUAUUAAUUUACUUGUAUAUGGUUUUAGACCUUUACUGUGAGAAAAUUAGAGUGUUCAAAGCAGGCAUUUGCUUGAAUAUAUUAGCAUGGAAUAAUCAUGUAUGAUUUUCAUGAUGUAUUUGAUUGGUUUGGUUCAUGAGAAUAAGAUUAAAAGGGACAGUUGGGGGUAUUCAUAUUCAAUAGUCAGAGGUGAAAUUCUCGGAUUUAUGGAAGAUGAACAAGUGCGAAAGCAUUUACCAAGGAUGUUUUCAUUAAUCAAGAACGAAAGUUAGGGGAUCGAAGAGGAU